GACGAACGCUGGCGGCGUGCUUAACACAUGCAAGUCGUACGGUAAGGCCCUUUCGGGGGUCCACGAGUGGCGAACGGGUGAGUAACACGUGAGUAACCUGCCCACAACUUUGGGAUAACGCUAGGAAACUGGUGCUAAUACUGGAUAUGUGCUCCUGCUGCAUGGUGGGGGUUGGAAAGCUCCGGCGGUUGUGGAUGGACUCGCGGCCUAUCAGCUUGUUGGUGGGGUAGUGGCCUACCAAGGCGGCGACGGGUAGCCGGCCUGAGAGGGUGACCGGCCACAUUGGGACUGAGAUACGGCCCAGACUCCUACGGGAGGCAGCAGUGGGGAAUAUUGCACAAUGGGCGCAAGCCUAAUGCAGCAACGCCGCGUGCGGGAUGACGGCCUUCGGGUUGUAAACCGCUUUCAGCAGGGACGAAGCUUUUUGUGACGGUACCUGCAGAAGAAGCACCGGCUAACUACGUG
rnacentral:rRNA from 1 species